GGAAUAUUGGACAAUGGGCGAAAGCCUGAUCCAGCAAUGCCGCGUGAGUGAUGAAGGCCUUAGGGUUGUAAAGCUCUUUUACCCGGGAUGAUAAUGACAGUACCGGGAGAAUAAGCUCCGGCUAACUCCAUUCCAGCAGCCGCGGUAAUAAGGAGGGAGCUAGCGUUGUUCGGAAUUACUGGGCGUAAAGCGCGCGUAGGCGGCUUUGUAAGUUAGGGGUGAAAUCCCGGAGCUCAACUCCGGAACUGCCUCUAAGACUGCAUCGCUUGAAUCCGGGAGAGGUGAGUGGAAUUCCGAGUGUAGAGGUGAAAUUCGUAGAUAUUCGGAAGAACACCAGUGGCGAAGGCGGCUCACUGGACCGGUAUUGACGCUGAGGUGCGAAAGCGUGGGGAGCAAAC
rnacentral:rRNA from 1 species